rnacentral:rRNA from 1 species
GCUACGGGUGGCAGCAGUGGGGAAUAUUGCACAAUGGGGGAAACCCUGAUGCAGCGACGCCGCGUGAGUGAGGAAGGAUUUCGGUAUGUAAAGCUCUAUCAGCAGGGAAGAAAAUGACGGUACCUGACUAAGAAGCCCCGGCUAACUACGUGCCAGCAGCCGCGGUAAUACGUAGGGGGCAAGCGUUAUCCGGAUUUACUGGGUGUAAAGGGAGCGUAGCCGGCUACGCAAGUCAGAAGUGAAAACCCAGGGCUCAACCUUGGGACUGCUUUUGAAACUGUGUAGCUAGAGUGCAGGUGAGGUAAGCGGACUUCCUCGUGUAGCGGUGAACUGCGUAGAUAUUAGGAGGAACACCAGUGGCGAAGGCGGCUUACUGGACUGUACCUGACGUUGAGGCUCGAACGCGUGGGGAGCAAACAGGAUUAGAUACCCUUGUAGUC